rnacentral:lncRNA from 1 species
AUGAAUGACUUAGUAACUAUCUGAACUAGGAAGUUCAUGAUCAACUGACUACAUACUUCAGGAGGAACAAAUGGUUAUUGAGGUCCUUCACCCUGGGAAGACAACAGUACCUAAGACAGAAAUUCAGGAAAAACUAGCCAAAAUGUAUGAGACUACACUAGAUGUCAAUCUUUGUAUUUGGAUUCAGAACUCAUUUUGGUGGUGGCAAGACAACUGGCUUUGGCAUGAUUUAUGAUUCACUGGAUUAUGCAAAGAAAAAUAAACCCAAAUGCUGACUUCCAAGACAUGGCCUGGAUGAGAAGAAAAGAACUCAAGAAAGCAAUGAAAGGAACACAAGACCAGAAUGAAGAAAGGGGGACUGCAAAGGACAGUGUUGGUGUGGCAAAAAGCCAAAGGAG